GUUGCAACUUGCAACAACAUGUAGUUUUAUGGAUAGGCUUACAAGCCAUUUGUAAUUAUGCUUGUAAAAAUAAUAAUUAAUAUAUGUUAUUACAAAAGGGUUGUCUAAAUGAUCCAUGAUAAAGUUUGAGUUAAAUAACCUAUUAUUUAAUCAUAUUGGAGAUAAGUGAGUUGAAAUUUCUAUAUUUUGUUUAUUAUUUUAUUUCCAACUCACUUAUAUUCAAUGUGAUUGGACGAUGAGUUAUUUAACCUAUUAUUUAAUCAUAUUGGAGAUAAGUGAGUUGAAAUUUCUAUAUUUUGUUUAUUAUUUUAUUUCCAACUCACUUAUAUUCAAUGUGAUUGGACGAUGAGUUAUUUAACCCAAACUUUAUCAUGGGUCAUUUAGACAACCCAUUACGAAAAUAUAAUAUUCACCUUUUUAAAAAAUUACUUUACAAUUUUCAUUUUUUAAGUGUCUAAAUGUAAUUACAUGUUUAUAUAUGUAAAAUCAAUAAUGCAGUUUGAAUUUCUA
rnacentral:lncRNA from 1 species